AGUGAACGCUGGCGGCGUGCCUAACACAUGCAAGUCGAACGGGCUAGUGCUUCGCACUAGUCUCUUUCUGGGGUUGUUACUCUAAGGCUACCUGCUAAGGUUAUUGCUUUAAAGCAGGGGUUUUAGGAGACUUUCCCCGAAAGGGGCCAGUGCGGAGCACUGGCCAGUGGCGAACGGGUGAGUAACACGUGGGUAAUCUACCCUCGAGUGGGGAAUAAGCUUCCGAAAGGGGGUCUAAUGCCGCAUAACGUUUCAUAACGAUGGUUAUGAAACCAAAGCCCAAAAGGCGCUCGAGGAGGAGCCUGCGUCCUAUCAGCUUGUUGGCAGGGUAAUGGCCUACCAAGGCUAUGACGGGUAGCCGGCCUGAGAGGGUGUCCGGCCACACUGGAACUGAGACACGGUCCAGACUCCUACGGGAGGCAGCAGUGGGGAAUUUUGCGCAAUGGGGGAAACCCUGACGCAGCGACGCCGCGUGGAGGAUGACGGCCUCGGUUGUAACUCCUACGUCAGAAGGACGAA
rnacentral:rRNA from 1 species